rnacentral:rRNA from 1 species
GCGUUUCAUUAGCUAGUUGGUAGGGUAAUGGCCUACCAAGGCAACGAUGAGUAGCUGGUCUGAGAGGAUGAUCAGCCACACUGGAACUGAAACACGGUCCAGACUCCUACGGGAGGCAGCAGUGGGGAAUAUUGCGCAAUGGGCGAAAGCCUGACGCAGCAACGCCGUGUGAGGGAUGAAGGCUUUCGGGUCGUAAACCUCUGUCGGAAGGGAAGAACGGGCAUUGGUCUAAUAGGCCUUUGUUUUGACGGUACCUUUAGAGGAAGCACCGGCUAACUCCGUGCCAGCAGCCGCGGUAAUACGGAGGGUGCAAGCGUUAUUCGGAAUUACUGGGCGUAAAGCGCACGUAGGCGGCCUUGUAAGUCAGGGGUGAAAUCCCACGGCUCAACCGUGGAACUGCCUUUGAAACUGCAGGGCUUGAAUCCUGGAGAGGGUGGCGGAAUUCCUGGUGUAGGAGUGAAAUCCGUAGAUAUCAGGAGGAACACCGGUGGCGAAGGCGGCCACCUGGACAGGCAUUGACGCUGAGGUGCGAAAGUGUGGGGAGCAAACAGGAUUAGAUACCCUGGUAGUCCACACCGUAAACGAUGGACGCUAGGUGCCGGGGA